CCCGAUGAGGAGAAUGCCCGGCUGUAGCACCAGUUCGUCGUGUCUGUCAAGCUCAGGCCGCACAUCACCAUUGAUUUGGGUUUGCAAAGAGGGAGAAAGAUUGACCAAUUGGGGAGUUCUCGGUGUUACUGGAAAGCGAAGAGCAGAGUAAUUGGUGGUUGCUUGAAAAAAUGAUAGAUGAUGAUAAUUCCAUACAAGAAAUGGUUUGGAAAUAAAUGAAAUAAUUUGACGAUGGAAAAGUUUCAAUCAAUGGGAAUCACGUGGCUAGACCAUCUCCUUGAGAAUUAUUAAGGGAUUUGUUUUUCAAUUCCGAGUUGUAUUGGUAGUUUGGUCCACUUUCCUCCUUGUUAUUAUCGGGACUUUAUCUUCCAAGCCAUUGUCUGGUCAUCUCAGAUGUGUCAUGGGUCAUGGCAAUUGGCAAACGGGCUGGCUAUUGGCCUUUGAAUUCAGCUGCUAGUGGGCUUACCACACUGGAAAUAAACACAAGCACUUCUCCCGCCACCAGCGACCAACCGGCGG
rnacentral:lncRNA from 1 species